rnacentral:rRNA from 1 species
UGAAUUAUAUGUUGUCGGCGACGCGUAUUCAGUGUCCCUAAAUCAGCGGGGAUUCGAUUAAGUUUGAUCCUGGCCCUUUAUGGGGGGCUGGCGGCAUGCUUAACACAUGCAAGUCGAACGGCAGCAUGGAGUGUAGCAAUACAUUCUGAUGGCGAGUGGCGGACGGGUGAGUAACGCGUAGGAAUCUGCCUUGAAGAGGGGGACAACCCGAGGAAACUCGGGCUAAUACCGCAUAGAUUCUAAGGAAUAAAGCUGGGUGGUAACACCUGGCACUUCAAGAGGAGCCUGCGUCCGAUUAGCUAGUUGGUUAGGUAAAAGCUGACCAAGGCGAUGAUCGGUAACUGGUCUGAGAGGAUGACCAGUCACACUGGGACUGAGACACGGCCCAGACUCCUACGGGAGGCAGCAGUGGGGAAUAUUGGACAAUGGGGGCAACCCUGAUCCAGCAAUGCCGCGUGUGUGAAGAAGGCCUUCGGGUUGUAAAGCGCUUUAGUUGGGGAGGAAGGUUGUUAUUUUAAGAGAUAAACAAUUUGACUGUACCCAAAGAAUAAGCACCGGCUAACUCUGUGCCAGCAGCCGCGGUAAUACAGAGUGUGCGAGCGUUAAUCGGAAUUACUGGGCGUAUAGGGGCGCGUAGGCGGUUAUAUAAGUUGGGAUGCGAAAUCGCUGGGGCUUCACCCUAUGAAACUGCAUCCUAAACCGUUUUGGCUGGAGUGCCUGCAGAGGGAAAAGAAAUUUCUGGGUGUAUCUGUAAAAUGGGUUUAAAUCCCCAAAGAGAUCUCAGUGUUCUUAGUGUGUUUAGCGGGGUGAGACUCCUGGGGUUUAAUAUGCGAGUUUCCUCCACUAUCCUGGGGCUAUUUAUCUCUGGGUGGGCUCUCCGUGUCACUCCCCCUCAUCCUGGUGAUUUUUCUCUAUGAAAUCCAUAUUAUUCCCACCCUCACCCGGAAAUUUCUCUCCACCUCCUGAGUGACUCCCCUUUGUUUCAUUUUUCCGAUGAUAGUACCUGGUGUUGUCCCCUAGUGUAUAUCACUCAUCAUAUAUAAAUCAUCCUCCUAGCCCUCCCCCUUCCAACCUCUAUAUAUUCAAGAUAUCGUUGUCCGCUGCCUAUUUUUGAUAAUCUGGGCGGGGUGGUGGAAUAGUAGAUAACUGUACGUGUGGAUUUUGUUCUUUUAGUGGUAUGUAUAAUUCCAAUUCUUGGUUUCUAUUAUCUAAAUAUAAAAAUACUGUAACCAAACCUCUCUCUCUCUCACCAAUAUAGGAUGCCCAG